GUAUGCCACAUUAUUUUAGAUUACAUGUUUUUCGUGCCUUUGGUAAACAGCUCUUUGGAAGUCAAUGAUGACAUUUGUUGGAUUGUGAUGUCCCUCAUUCAGUCACUGCCUGUACAGAAAUUAAACAAAUGGUGCUUAUUGGAGAAAUAGUAGACAAUGAAAAGUUAAUGCAAAGUUAAUGCAGCAAGCAUGGUAGAUAUGCAAAUCAGAAGUAAGCUAUUGAAAGCUGUGGUUGUGAACUGACUGUCAUUCCUGAGGGGAUGGUUUGUUUCGUUUGAUGAUCAAGAACAACAAGCAGGCUCAGCAUGUGAGAGGAAUGUUUAGAAAGAGUGAGAAAUGGGCCAGAAUCCUCGGGGACUACUUUCAUCUGCAUCAUCAUCUGGAAAAUAUGUGGCUCUGUGGAUGCGGGUUCCCAGGAGGAAUAUCUUGCUGAAGCAACAAACACUGGAGAUAAUAUUCGCUCCCCCCACAGAGUCCUUAAGGAGAGGAACACUCCAGGUAAGAGAUCUCUUGCUGUUCCUGUAAAUUAGUGCUGUAGCAUUCUUCUGUAGAAUAUGAUCACGUGGUAUACGCUAAACCUCUUUAUGAUUGAACAAAAUUGCCUCUGCUUCACAAAUAAAUACCUUCUCAUUUUCAGUUUCAUCCGUUCAUUUAAUAUUUGUUGUUUUUCCCACCUCCACCACAGCCUCCAGGGUGGCCCUGGUUGAGCCAACCUGUCAGCAAAGGGUUUAACGCCUUGUUUGUGUGUCAGUGGCCUGACCGGGUAGAGCUCACACAUGUUACUGUGACUUCACCCUAUUUAAUUACCUUAGAAUACCCUCACCUCACUGUCAGCAGAACCUCUGGUCUUAUCUGUUACAUUGCUUGGUACUGUCUAUUACUGAUAGACAUGUCUAUAUCUAUGUGUCAUCAGAAUGGACUGCUGUUAACUUGUAUGUGCUAGGGUGGUUUUGUUUAGUUUUUUUAAGACUUUGUUGUCCAGGCGUGGUGGAGAGAAUUUGCGACUAUUUUGGAACAGCAGCUCCUACCCAGUGUCCUGCAAACUGAAACUGUAAACAACAAAACACUCUAUUUACUGAUGCAAUGAGUGUCGUUUAUUGAGAGCCACACAAUCAGAAAAACGUCCAAACCUUUUGGUUAUCAGAGACAUAGUACAUUAGGAAUUUAUAUUAUCUGUACUAUUUCUGUGCCCCAGGACAGAUCACUCAAACUUUUUUUCCCCUGAAGCGAGAGCAGUUUCACAUAAAUUAUAGUUGCUUACAGCCAUGAUCAACGUAAUCACUGUCCAUACAGCAGUUCCAGAUUCAUAAGGUCAUUAUCACUAGUCACUCACAUUGAAAGACCCUUAAAUAUAUCUAUAUUUACCAGAUUAAAACCUAUAAUUCAUGGUUAAAUUGUGUGUUGAGCAUGGAUACAGGUAGUGUUAUUAACAUUGAAUAACCACAAGGAGUCAGUAUUUCAUAGGAAAUAGAUUGAUAAAGAAGAUAAUUACUUGAAAUUUUAUUUUGGUUAUGGGUUUUUUUUAUAUCUUUUUUAUAUCUAUAUUUUAUAUCUAUCUUGUAUCAAAGUUCACUUGUGAUCACUCAUCUAUGCAUUAGAUAUUUUCUGUGUCAAAAAUUUGAUUUAAGUAAAAUUAAAUGAGGACAGUUAAGAUCAUCCUUUAAAAAAAUAUAAAAGAUAUGAUUCCUUAAGUCUUUACGUGGGUAUGUACCCACACAGCGGCCCAUGCAUGCUCACACGCCCACAGGAUGAACAAACAAGCACGCUAUCACACACCUUUGUUUCACUUAUCACCUUGUCUUUGAUCUACAGUCUAAACAGAACAGAAAACCAGCUUGACAAGUUGAUAAUGGUUCUCUGGAAAUAGCAUGAAAUUCGGUUUCCACUGAAGAUUCUAUUGCUUCAUACCACGACUCUGCCCUGAUACACACACUACUAUUUAACUGUGGCUUGGUCUUGCUUAUUUCUCAUAAUAAUACAAUUAUUAAUCACUAGUCCCUCAGAAUCACCCGCUAAUUAAUUAUCUACCAUCUACAUUGCUUUGAAAGAAGAAAGACUAAACGUCCCAAAAUAGUUUAACUAGUUCAAGGAAGUAAGAUUAAAGUUAUUUUAUCAAAAUGUAAAAACUGACCAGUCCCAAAAUAAAUGUAACAGUUUAGAAAUGUGAUUGAAUGUUCAUGUUAGUUUUUUGGCUUUCCACUUGGAUUAGAGUUGCUGUCUCAAGUUUUUCCAUUACACAGGAAGUUUUAGUACUGUAAGAAGUACUUUCACUAGGCAUGCAGAUUGAAGCCAGCGUACUGAACUUGACAAUCAGGUCUGGUUUUAAGUCUAGGUCAAAAGCCAUUUCAGGGAUGGAGAUAGCAUCAAGGUCAAAGCCGGCCCCUGUGUCUCCCUCGUCAGCAUACACAUGAGGAGCAUAAUCACCCAGCUCCUCUCCUGGUGCCUGGAGAUUGGUCACUCUCUACAGUAUACAGGGAAACAAAAAAGAAAAGGUUAAUCUUUUUUUAAAGAAAAAAAAAACUCUAGCUUUGUUUGAUUGAUUAAAUCCUUGUCAUUACCUGUUUUAGUACUUUGAUCAGAGUUUCACAUCGGCCUACAUCAACCUGCUGUUGUGCAGAAUAUGUACUGUGUCUCACAGCUCUCUGGGAAAUCAAAAGCAGAUAGAUGUAUCAUUUCAGGAUAUAAUUUUUUUUUUAUAAAUUUGAAGACAAGGGCUAUAGUAGUGUAGAUUAUAGUACCAUAUAGUUUCUGUGCUGAUGUCCCAUUCUCAUUGCUGAUGAUGCGCCCAUUGACUGCAAUAUCCAGUGGUUAAUUUAGUACAAUAUGCUGGGAUGUAGUGAACUUCCAUAAUAAUAAUAAUAAUAAUAACAAUAGUAAUAUUAAUUAUGAUAUUAAUCAUAAUUUCAGUACCGAACGCAUAGAGCUGUUGCGUGUAAACUCAUGUUCCCUGUAGCUUCUUCUUUGUUCCCAGUUGGAGUCAGUUAUCAACUGCAAGAGGGAAAAAAAACAUGUCCAGCCAUGACACCUAAUUUUAUAAAUAAUGUGUCCAUUUGUCACUGUGAGAAAAAUUUGAAAGGAUAAGGCUAGUAUUAGAUUCUUUUUUUUUCUGGUUGUCAUCAAAUCUUAUGAAAACCAACAGUGUGUUACUCUGUCUUUUCCACUUUUUCAGCCAAUCUGUGACUUUAAGUUCCUGCUGAUAAUGUAAAUAGUGUUUUUAAUUCCUAGAUCAACUGGGUACUGUAGUUUUACUUGAAGACUUGGUGCACUAGCAAUUAUUUAGCAGUAGGAUGGUGCACAUGGACAAGCUUUACCCGGCUUUUGCUACACAGACAGCAGUAUCAAUUCAUUCAUUCAUUUUGGUCUUUUAAUUAGAUUAAUUGACAAUAAAAGAAUCUAGAAUAUCACAAGACUCAUUUUAAUAUAGAAUACGGUUCCAUUUCUGACCCAAAAAAAUAAAUUUCUUUACCCCAUACAAACUGUUAAUUUCCUUGAGUUUAGUUUGGUAUGCGGCGUUCUCUGAAAGUCGCCCUCCUGCAGUUGUUUUCCUAAUGUCUGACUGCAAAAAAAGCCAAAUCAAGUCAAGUCAUGACCACAUAAGUACUUGAAAAAAAAAAAAUACAUAGCACAUUAAGAAAAGUAUGCUUCAUGAGUUUGUAAUUAAAUGAACGUAUAUUUUUUUUUAUCACUUACUCGCUUUAGAGGAUAAGACUAAUAUGAAUUUUUUUCUUUUCUGGUUGUCAUCAAAUCUUAUGAAAACACCAAAACCAACAGUGUGUUACUCUGUCUUUUCCACUUUUCAGCCAAUCUGUGACUUUAAGUUCCUACUGAUAAUGUAAAUAGUGUUAAUAUAUAUAUAUAUAUAUUGGGUUUUUUUUGUAAUUAUUAGAUCAACUUGGUACUGUAGUUUUACUUGAAGACUUGAUGCACUAGCAAGUAUUUAGCAGUAGGAUGGUGCACUUGGAAAACCUUUAUCAGGCUUUUGCUACACAGACAGCAGUAUCAAUUCAUUGCCGGUUUUGGUCUAUUAAGUAGAUUAAUUGACAAUAAAAGAAUCUAGAAUAUCACAAGACUAAUUUUAAUAUAGAAUAUUUAUAUUUAUUUCUGACCAAAAAAAGAUAUUUCUUUACCCCAUGCAAGCUGUUAAUUUCCUUAAAUUUAGUUUGGUAUGUGGCGUUCUCUGAAAGUCGCCCUCCCGCAGUUGUUUUCCUAAUGUCUGACUGCAAAAAAGGCCAAAUCAAGUCAAGUCAUGACCACACAUAAGUACUACAUACAUAGCACAUUAAGAAAAGUAUGCUUCAUAAGCUUGUUAUUAAAUGAACGUUUUUUUUUAUCACUUACUCGCUUUAUCGUUGCUGUUGGAACUUUCUGUCCAUGGUUUAAUGCCUCAAAAUUCACCUGUUGAAAUUUUUGUUUUUUUACAACAAGUUACCUCCAGGUAUCAGUGCACUUAAAAUUAAUUUAAAUUAAUAAAAUUAAAUGAAAUUGUAUAAGCCUACAGUAAUAAUGAAAUAUAGUUUAUUUUAAUAAUAAUAAAAGUAUUUACUUUGCAGUCAGUUCCCGGUUCCUCAGUGUUACCGACUAUCAGACUUUGUCCUGUACCUUCAUUUGGCAAUGGUCUGAUAUUGGUCAUUUUACAUGACACCAGAAAAGCAGCAAGUAGUGCCCCUGGGAUACAAAGAUCACACACACACACACACACACACACACACACACACACACACACACACACAGAUCAGAUCAUACAGUGUUAAAUGAGGCUUUUAAUCUCCUGGGGAUGGGCUCAUGACCAAAAUAUAAUAUUCUGUUGUUUAAUAUCAGUUUAAUUUAAUUUAGUUAAAAUGAAAAUGUGUUUUUGUAAUAUAUAAUAAUAAUAAUAAUACAUUUAUUUGUAAAGCGCUUUCAGGUCAAAGUGCCGUACAGAGCAUAGGAAAUACAGUUUAAAAACAUUUCAAAUAACUAAAACAAAAAUAAACACACACUCGGACUCUCAGGCAAACAUACAGAGAAAUAGGCCUCAUACACAACAGUAAACAAAUGGGUCUUUAGCUUUGCUUUAAAAACCUCAAAAGAACAUGCCUGCCUGAUGUCCAGAGGUAAACUGUUCCACAAUGUCGGUGCACAGAAAGAAAAAGCCUGUUCACCAAUUGUCUUCUUUUAUGUUUAAAAUAAAGUCGUAUUAACAAUGAUUCAAGUAUUUUGGAUAUGCAUCCUACCUGCAAGCAGUAGUAUACUGAAAAAAAUGAUCCCGAGUGCUCCUCCUCCUGCUGCAGAGCCAGUAGCUUUGCGGGACCGACAGUCUGGCCUCGCUGUGUUUAAGCAGUGACACACUGUAACUGACAGGUUGUGGACAGUGGUCUGGUGCUGAAGGUCAGACACUUCCAGUAACAGCUCAAAGUGUCCAGAAUGAACUACGUUCUCUUUCACCAGGUUCACUGAAUCACCUGUACAUAAAAAAAUAAUAUUAUUAAUAUUAUAAUAAUAUAUAAUAAUAUUAGUCAUAUUAAAGACAAAUUGUUUUUAAACUUAGAGGGUGAUUUACAGGGCAUUAUUUGCACGAGUUUUAUGGUCGAACCCCAAAGGAGUUGUGAGAAUUAGAGGUCACCUUGAGGAGGGUCAACCCUCCACUUGCCCUCAACAUCUCCAAGGAGCUUAAAGUGAAAAGGUCCACCAUAGGGUUCUUCAUCCAAAUCCAAGGCUGUGAUGUUGGCAAGAGAGGGCCCAUCAGAUUGGCACAUGGCAAUUGUGCUUUGAGACAGGGUAGGAGUAUUGUCAUUCUCAUCGGCAAUAUGGAUGCUGAGGGUUGCAGUACUUGUCAUUGGAGGUUUACCUGGUCACCAAAAACACAUGUUCCAUUUUCAGUAAUGUGAUAAAGAAACUGUGAUUGAUAAAAUAUACAGAAUGUAAAAACAACUGCAGUUCAUACCAUUGUCAACAGCAUAUAUUGUGACGUUAUAGAUAUUGUUUUUCACAAAGGGUGACUCUCGGUCUACGAUCUUCGAUGUGGUUAUUUUUCCAGUCUUAGGGUCUACUGUGACCCAGUCAGCUGGAUCGUUUCCUUUGAUGUAGCUGAAACACACAUACACAAUGUGUUACAUAUAAGUUCUCUAUUGAUCUACUAAUGUAGAAUGUUGUUGUAUCUUCAUGACUUACACAAAUGUGUUUGCACUUGCGAUGUCAGGGUCUUUAGCUGUAAAUGUCACCAGAUAUUGUCCUGGUGCAACAUUCUCACUCAGCUUAACAUGUUGGUUAGGUUUGUCGAAGAUUGGAGGGUCAUUGACAUCCACCACAGUCACUGUCACUUGACGGAUGGACAGACUUAAUGUUGCACCAGUUGCACCAGUUGCACUGCCAAUAGUGACACCAUCAGUAAUGACCCAAAGACCAGUGGAUGUGCGCUUCACCACUUUACAUGAGUGAUAAGGGAUUUCAUUCUCUACACUGAUAGUCAAGUUCUUCAGAGGAGUGUCUUCAUAGUUCAGAGGCUGUAGAAAAGGUAAAAAAGAGUUUCAUCGAAGGGCUUUUUUAAGAGCCAUAAAGUUCAUCAUACACAGGUUGUCAGUCUUUCUACAGUGCAGAACUAAAAAACUGAAAUUGUAUGAAUAACCACAUUUGAGAAUAUCCAAGUCUCAUUCUCUUUAGCAUUUGUGGUCUCUUAGAAAAGGCCAAAAUAUUUAACAUAAAAACUAGUUUUGAAGAAUAUAGGCUUGUUUUGUUUAAAUUGUCGCAUAAACGUAAAUGUACUACAGUGGAGCAUAAUUGUUUUGGAUUAAGCCUUUAUACCUCUCUGUCUGAUUCUUCAAACUGGUACCUGAACAGGAUGCAUAUAUUAUUAAUACAGCAUGAUAUCUAAAGGUUAGACAUUAGGUAAGGGCAGACAUUAGACCUAGAUGGGCGCCGGCGACAACGGCAGCCUGUUAUGGCAGCUCCUAUUACUGUUGUAGUUUUAGUGUGUUUUUAGCCUGUGUUUUUUGCUAUUUUUAACUGUUUUCUUACUUUCUUACUUUCUUACUAGUUUGUUCACGUCGCCUAAAUACCUUUUUGCCGUUUUUGAGCAUUUUUUAUUUUUUGUUUGCACGGGUCUCCAUGGCGACGGCGAGUCGCAUUGUUUACACCCAUGACCAGAUGAUCGCCCUGAGGUACCAUCCUGACUGGAGAGAGAGCCUCCAUACCGGAGGAGCUGAGGAGACGGCGAGGCUGCAGAAUGGGGGUUAAACGGAGGAUGAAGAAGAGGAGGUUUAAACCCUACACACGUGGCUACACGAGCAGAUACCGGACUCCAACGUCACCAUGCCCGGCUUCCAGACGGUUCGAGCUGACAGGGACACCACCGCGACCGGCAUGAAGAAAGGAGGGGGACUUGCCGUGCUCAUAAACAACAGGUGGUGUAACCCCGGGCACGUCUGUGUGAAAGAGCGUCUGCAGCCCGGACAUCGAGCUUGUCGCCGACGGACUUCGUCCAUGUUAUUUGCCACGGGAACUUUCCAGCAUUAUCGCCGUCACUGUUUAUAUUCCUAACAGUGGUCUUCAUCAUCACCAUCACUGUUUACAUUUAUGAUGUCUUAUUUAUUCUCCUGUACAGCACUUUGGUCAACUUUGGAUGUUUUUAAAGUGCUUAACAAAUAAAGUUGGAUUGGAUUGGAUCUGUGGGUAAAACAGCAUACUCAGGAAUUUAAGUCUGUGGUAAAGUGUGGUAAAAGGUUCUGUAUCUUAAACCAUAAUGCUUGUUGUAUUGGUUUAAUUUUUUGUCUACAGUAAAUGGUUUUUGAAGAUACCAAAACAAUUUUUUUUUACCAAAUAAUUAUUAGACUGUAGUGUGAAAAGAUCAAUGUAUGUAAGAUAAAAUACCUUUUCCACAUAUAGUAGUCCCUCAUUUGUCUCAUUAUCAGUUGUGAUUCUAAAGUUGUUGUUUUUGUCUCCUUGGAUCUUAUAUACCGCUCUCCAGGCCGCUGUACCUUUGGUGUCUUUGUCUUUAACUUGCAGACGGGAAACAAGAACAUUUUCGUCGUCUUCUUUCACCCUCCCUGGACCCUGAGGUAAAAAAAAUAAAUGUAACUUUUAUUAUGAAAAAAUACUGCUGUAAUAUAGGCAACAGCUGUCAUUGCCUUCAUCAAGUUAAUUGAAAGAAGUAAGUAUUCACUGUUUGUCCUGUGAUAUAAGGCAGGUGGUUAUUUCCAUCUUCUAUGUUGACUAUGAUGGUGCAGGAGCUGGAGAGCUUUAUUUUGUCUCCACAGUCUUUGGCCUCCACUACAAUGGUGUAUUUUUCUGCAGUCUGAUCGGUUAAAAAGAACAACCACUUCAAUGAAUAUUUAAACAUAUUUGAUUUUGCUAUAUUAUUCAAAUUUAAGGAGAUGGAACUUCCAAGAUCAACAGAUUUGAUAUUUUGCAUUUGAAAAUUAUGCCAUUAAGCAAUGAGUCUUCUCACCUCAUGGUCCAGACACCCCUUAAAUGAUAUUGUUGCAGUUCUAGUAGCAUUGUUCUGGGUUAAGUAGAACUCCAGCUCAUGUGGUUUUGGGGUGACUGAGACUAUUUUGAAAUUAAAUAUUCCAUUGUUCUUACUGGUGUCAUCAUCACUUGCCCUAAUAGUGAUCACUUCAGUGCCUGUCCGUGUCAUAAUAAAGAAGUUGUUUUAUUUUAGGUCAUUGUCAGAUUCACUAUUGUAUUUGUUUAUGUAAAUUAUGUAAAUUGCCAUUUAGUUUUGCCAUAAUAGUAGCAGUUAAGAUUACAUGAGGAAAUUGUCAAAAAGUUACCUUGUAGUUUUGACUCUUCUAUCCAGAUCUCAUAACUUUCGAGGUCAAACUUUGGAGGGUUGUCAUUUGAGUCGAUAAUUGUUAUCUCAAUGCCCAGCUGUGUUUCUAUUACAUGACUUUCUUUAUCAAGUGCCUGAAAUGUUAGCUGUAAUGGAAAGGCAAGAAUUGUGAAAUAUGAAACACUUCACCAUGCUCCACACACAUCCUUUGUGCUGGAGAUUAUUGUAAUAAUGCUGUUUUAUUGAAUUCUUUCUAACCCUGAAAACAUGGAAUUUCUCAAAGUCCACAGCCCUGUGGACGGUAACGUCCCCUGUGUGUUCGUUGAUUUGGAGUACGCCUUUGGGUUCCUCAUCAACACCUUGACCAUGUAUUUUGAAAAGGGUCAGGUUUUUCUCUAUAGUAAUCUGUAGGGAGUCAAAACACAACAGUUUGUAAAAAAAAAUCCUGCAUCUUGUCAUAUCUAUGCAUUGUGACUCUCAGUAGGUACUUACUUUGCCCAGUGAAUAUGGGAAUGGUCCUUUAUAGCCCUCAUCAAUACUAAAGGAAUCAAUGAUCCACCUUCUUUUUUGUCGCUGUAAAAUUUCUGAAGAUGACCUGUAGACUCCCAAAAUCUGAAAAAACAUAUUAGUUACUCUUAAUUUAUGCAGGUUAAAAUAAUACAUCCGUACACCCUCAUGUUCUUCGAAUCAGCUGGAUGAAAACAAUCAUUUUGGAAUAUAUGGCACGAGUAAGCAUCAAGAAAGAAAAUCAUUUUGUGAAAUAAAUAAGGAAUAAGGAAAAUCUUGCCAGCAUCACGAAGAGACUGAUGUGUAUCGUCCCCAUAGUCUAUCCAGAUUAGUCCAUUAGCAGCAUUCAUUGAAAACACAGAAAUUCAACUACAUGACAAUGCGGGUUCUGGCUGCUGUAUAUCUGUGGGUGGGGGGAGGGUGUCAGGGCCUAUCAUAAAACUUCAUAGCAGAUGGGUGUGUACAUGUGUACACGUGUAAGAAUAUGUGUUUGUGUUACACCAAUGUGGCAAGACAACAGUUUCUCAUGUAUAUCAUACAGAAUGUAAUAAUGAUCAUUAUCUUUAUUUCACAAUGUUGCAAGUACACAAAAACCCUGUCAAAAUACAUACUGUGAAACACAUGAACGCACAUAAGUAAAAGUGAGUCCAAAUAAAGCUUUUUAUUAAAAAUGAGUGGGUUUUCAAAAAUGCUUUGAAAGCAGAAACAAAUGGUUCUAUAUGAAUGAAUAUACAGUAUGAUAUGGAUAAAUAUAAUACUGAGCUUUUAAAAAUAAGAAUUUUAAAAGCUCAAUAUUGCUAUUUACUAAUUUACAAAUUUACUAAUAUUACUACUAAUACUAUUUUAUUCAACUUCUGCUCAUCAUAUCAGCUCUUUUUUUUUUUUUUUUUUUUUAACUCAAAAUGUUGCAUAAGUCUCAGUCAAGAAACAACAUGUCAGGCCCUUGUUUUGAUCCACAUGACAUCAAGUUUGUCUUUGUGAAAAGAUGUGGGAAGAAGUUUUCAGAAUUCAAACUCUAGUUUAAUUCAUAAUAGCAGCAUGAUUAUAUUAUAAUAUCAAUGUUUAAAUGUAUUUAAUACUCUGCCUCAGUGUGCUGUAGGUACAAUGUCAUUGCUGUUUACAAACCAGACUACAGUAUGAUUAUUAUCUUUAUCAUAUUCUGCUCCAGUUUUUAUUUAAAAAAAACUGAAUCUGUUUUCAUCAAGUCAAGUUCCUUAAUCAUUACAUUUGAGCUCACUUUUACUUUGGUGAGCUCAUGUGGGUCAGGAAUCGUUUGUUGUGUCUCUGCAAGUCCGAUUGAGACAUGCUCAGAUGCAUUUAUAAAGACUUAGAUACUUUGUUUCUUCCAUGAAGAGUCAACAGUAGUAUCAUUUGGUGUCUGUAAGUAAUAGGUUUGUUUUGUUUGGCUUGCAUACAGUGGCAAGAAAAAGUAUGUGAACCUUUUUGAAUUUCAUUGUUUUCCUGAAUAAAUUUGUCAAAAUGUGA